CCUACGGGAGGCAGCAGUGAGGAAUAUUGGUCAAUGGACGAGAGUCUGAACCAGCCAAGUAGCGUGAAGGAUGACUGCCCUAUGGGUUGUAAACUUCUUUUAUAUGGGAAUAAAAUGUUCCACGUGUGGGAUUUUGUAUGUACCAUAUGAAUAAGGAUCGGCUAACUCCGUGCCAGCAGCCGCGGUAAUACGGAGGAUCCGAGCGUUAUCCGGAUUUAUUGGGGUUAAAGGGAGCGUAGGUGGAUUGUUAAGUCAGUUGUGAAAGUUUGCGGCUCAACCGUAAAAUUGCAGUUGAAACUGGCAGUCUUGAGUACAGGAGAGGUGGGCGGAAUUCGUGGUGUAGCGGUGAAAUGCUUAGAUAUCACGAAGAACUCCGAUUGCGAAGGCAGUUCACUGGACUGCAACUGACACUGAGGCUCGAAAGUGUGGGUAUCAAACAGGAUUAGAUACCCGAGUAGUC
rnacentral:rRNA from 1 species